AAGGUUUUACAGCACCACAAUGCCUACUCCACCCAUGCUCUACCAAGGUUUUACAGCACCACAAUGCCUACUCCACCCAUGCUCUACCAAGGUUUUACAGCACCACAAUGCCUACUCCACCCAUGUUCUACCA